AGCGUAGACGGAUGGACAAGUCUGAUGUGAAAGGCUGGGGCUCAACCCCGGGACUGCAUUGGAAACUGCCCAUCUUGAGUGUCGGAGAGGUAAGCGGAAUUCCUAGUGUAGCGGUGAAAUGCGUAGAUAUUAGGAGGAACACCAGUGGCGAAGGCGGCUUACUGGACGGUAACUGACGUUGAGGCUCGAAAGCGUGGGGAGCAAACA
rnacentral:rRNA from 1 species